CUUUCAAUGAAACUUCACUCUGCAAAGCUCAAAUUUGAAGUGCAAUUUCUAAACUGCGACUGUGCCUUCAAUUUUAAUACUUCAGAGACAUACUAUGCAUCAAAAUGUAGGUCUGGGUCUCGUGAUUCUCACAAUAUAAAGCUCUUCACUGUAGGAGUUAUAGUUUUUAAGAUACGACCGUUUGAAGAUGGCACCCACCAAAAUACUCUGACCUGUGUCAAGCUGCAGCAGCAAGUGAUGUCAUAGACAAGGCCUUUUGAACACCUGCUAAUGUUUUAUAAAUGUAUGGUUUAAUGUAACUGUGCAACAACGUUGCAAUUAAAUGUGCUAUAUAAAUGAUAACAGUUACUCCGCCCACUCCAGUUGUAGACUACUGGUGGAGGCAAGAACACUUCACACAAUUUCCCCAGAAAUUGUAGCUUUUCUAGUUAAGUGUUCUUGCAUAGCAAGACCACU